rnacentral:rRNA from 1 species
AUGAACGCUAGCGACAGGCUUGACACAUGCAAGUCGAGGGGCAGCACAGGUAGCAAUACCGGGUGGCGACCGGCGCACGGGUGAGUAACGCGUAUGCAACUUGCCUAUCAGAGGGGGAUAACCCGGCGAAAGUCGGACUAAUACCGCAUGAAGCAGGGGCCCCGCAUGGGGAUAUUUGCUAAAGAUUCAUCGCUGAUAGAUAGGCAUGCGUUCCAUUAGGCAGUUGGCGGGGUAACGGCCCACCAAACCGACGAUGGAUAGGGGUUCUGAGAGGAAGGUCCCCCACAUUGGUACUGAGACACGGACCAAACUCCUACGGGAGGCAGCAGUGAGGAAUAUUGGUCAAUGGCCGAGAGGCUGAACCAGCCAAGUCGCGUGAGGGAUGAAGGUUCUAUGGAUCGUAAACCUCUUUUAUAAGGGAAUAAAGUGCGGGACGUGUCCCGUUUUGUAUGUACCUUAUGAAUAAGGAUCGGCUAACUCCGUGCCAGCAGCCGCGGUAAUACGGAGGAUCCGAGCGUUAUCCGGAUUUAUUGGGUUUAAAGGGUGCGUAGGCGGCCUUUUAAGUCAGCGGUGAAAGUCUGUGGCUCAACCAUAGAAUUGCCGUUGAAACUGGGGGGCUUGAGUAUGUUUGAGGCAGGCGGAAUGCGUGGUGUAGCGGUGAAAUGCAUAGAUAUCACGCAGAACCCCGAUUGCGAAGGCAGCCUGCCAAGCCAUUACUGACGCUGAUGCACGAAAGCGUGGGGAUCAAACAGGAUUAGAUACCCUGGUAGUCCACGCAGUAAACGAUGAUCACUAGCUGUUUGCGAUACACUGUAAGCGGCACAGCGAAAGCGUUAAGUGAUCCACCUGGGGAGUACGCCGGCAACGGUGAAACUCAAAGGAAUUGACGGGGGCCCGCACAAGCGGAGGAACAUGUGGUUUAAUUCGAUGAUACGCGAGGAACCUUACCCGGGUUUGAACGCAUUCGGACCGAGGUGGAAACACCUUUUCUAGCAAUAGCCGUUUGCGAGGUGCUGCAUGGUUGUCGUCAGCUCGUGCCGUGAGGUGUCGGCUUAAGUGCCAUAACGAGCGCAACCCUUGCCACUAGUUACUAACAGGUAAAGCUGAGGACUCUGGUGGGACUGCCAGCGUAAGCUGCGAGGAAGGCGGGGAUGACGUCAAAUCAGCACGGCCCUUACAUCCGGGGCGACACACGUGUUACAAUGGCGUGGACAAAGGGAAGCCACCUGGCGACAGGGAGCGAAUCCCCAAACCACGUCUCAGUUCGGAUCGGAGUCUGCAACCCGACUCCGUGAAGCUGGAUUCGCUAGUAAUCGCGCAUCAGCCAUGGCGCGGUGAAUACGUUCCCGGGCCUUGUACACACCGCCCGUCAAGCCAUGGGAGCCGGGGGUACCUGAAGUCCGUAACCGCGAGGAUCGGCCUAGGGUAAAACUGGUGACUGGGGCU